rnacentral:rRNA from 1 species
AUUGAACGCUGGCGGCAGGCCUAACACAUGCAAGUCGAACGGUAGCACAGAGAGCUUGCUCUCGGGUGACGAGUGGCGGACGGGUGAGUAAUGUAUGGAAACUGCCUGAUGGAGGGGGAUAACUACUGGAAACGGUAGCUAAUACCGCAUAACGUCGCAAGACAAAAGAGGGGGACCUUCGGGCCUCUUGCAAUCAGAUGUGUCCAGAGGGGAUUAGCUAGUAGGUGGGGUAACGGCUCACCUAGGCGACGAUCCCGAGCUGGUCUGAGAGGGUGACCAGCCACACUGGAACUGAGACACGGUCCAGACUCCUACGGGAGGCAGCAGUGGGGAAUAUUGCACAAUGGGCGCAAGCCUGAUGCAGCCAUGCCGCGUGUAUGAAGAAGGCCUUCGGGUUGUAAAGUACUUUCAGCGGGGAGGAAGGUGUUGUGGUUAAUAACCACAGCAAUUGACGUUACCCGCAGAAGAAGCACCGGCUAACUCCGUGCCAGCCGCCGCAGUAAAAC